AGUGAACGCUGGCGGUAGGCCUAACACAUGCAAGUCGAACGGCAGCACAGUAAGUGCUUGCUCUUACGGGUGGCGAGUGGCGGACGGGUGACGUAUACAACGGAACCUACAUUUGCGUGGGGGAUAACGAAGGGAAACUUACGCUAACACCACAUCCGACCUACCAGGAUAAGCAGGGGAUCUUCGCACCUUCUGCACUAGCAGAUGCCGAUGCCGGGUAUGCUCGUUGGCGGGGUAAAGGCCCACAACGGCGAGGAACCGCAGCGGGGCUGAGAGGGUGAUCGGCAACACUGGAACGGAGACACGGCCCGGACUCCUACGGGAGGAAGCAGUGGGGAAUAUUGGCCAAUGGGGGCAAGCCGGAUCCAGACAGACGGCGUGGGGGAGGAAGUCUUUCGGGUGUUAAAGUCUUUUUGUUGGGAAAGAAAAGCAGCAGGGUAAAACCCCGCUGUUGUGACGGUACCCAAAGAAUAAGCACCGGCUAACUUCGUG
rnacentral:rRNA from 1 species